rnacentral:rRNA from 1 species
CACGUAGGGGGGCAAGCGUUGUCCGGAUUCAUUGGGCGUAAAGAGCUCGUAGGUGGUUCGAUAAGUCGGGUGUGAAACCUCCAGGCUCAACCUGGAGACGCCACCCGAUACUGUCGUGACUAGAGUCCAGUAGGGGAGCGUGGAAUUCCUGGUGUAGCGGUGAAAUGCGCAGAUAUCAGGAGGAACACCAGUGGCGAAGGCGGCGCUCUGGGCUGGAACUGACGCUGAGGAGCGAAAGCGUGGGGAGCGAACAGG